rnacentral:lncRNA from 1 species
CUGGAAGAUGUACUGAAAAUGCACGCUAAAGUGACCUGAAGAACCACCAAUUGUUGAACUGAAAUACACAAGAGAAGGAGCAUUUACAUCCAGGGUAACUCUACGUUACAUAACAAUAACUGAGCAUAUAUGUCUAUAAGUUGAAGGGUAACGGACCUCAAGAUGCCAUUUCCUCUCAGCCUUAUACAUCUUCCUUCCAACAUUCAUCUAUUUUUGAGUUGCUGCCUUCGAUUUUUUUUACGCAUCAUGCCAACAGAAAAUGGACCAAAAUUUCAAAGAUGAACUGAAAAAGAUGAACAUAAUUUGAGUAGAGAUGGAUGAUGGCAAAUGAUGAGCAGCACGUUUGCUUCUCUUCUUGGCCUAAACUGUACAGACACAAAGGAUCUGCCCCGGCAUAGCUAAUUGAGAUCUCUAGCUAAUUAACCCAACCACAGGCCACAUCCCAUCACACAACACUUUGCAUACACACAUUUAUCUAUUCCCAGAAAUUCUUUUACUGAAGUUAAGAGGAACAAGUUUGAGAUUAUCAGUAGUACACCCACCAUACCA